UGCCAUGCUAGGCUCUAAAGGCAUAAACAAGUCAUGACCCUUCCCCCAGAGUCCUUGCAAGGAAAAGAACACCAAGGGAUUACAGGGCUGUGAAAGAUGGCCGUGGACCAUGUAGAAGCAGCAACCAGCCUUGUAGUGCUUAGGAGAAAGCUCCAGCCUGUGAUUCCUAAAGAUAUUCUACUGCGCACAGGGAAAGCGGGUGCGGGUCUUCAUUCUUAGAUUUUCCCUCUGGCGGCUGUCCCGGGAGCGGGUGAGCCCAGGUAGAAGGAGCUGGUGGCCAGGUGGGGCAGGUGCAGAGCAAAACAGCAGAACGUGGAGAGAGGGCACAGGAGGCUGAAGAGGAUCCAGUCCUGCAGACAGGAGGAAGUUGCCAGCGUGGCAAUUGGGUGGGGCUGCAGACCGUGAGGGCUGAUGCGGGUCAAAGUGCACCUGCUCCUGGGGAGGACCUGCCCCUGAGAGAGGCCCGAUGGUGCACAGCAGGCAGCCAGGGAGGCAGGCAUGUCGUCCUCAUCAUGCACAUGAGAACACAGAGAUGUGGGGGGGUGAGCGGCUGCUGCAGGCACUGCACUCCUCAUGUGGGAGCCCCGGGUGAUAGGAAGGACCACAGCCAUCCCGCCAAGGAGCUGGUGCUUUCUUCUGAAGGCAUCUGCGGAGCCCUAAGGUUGUGCAGCAAAGAAGGAGCAGACCUGUGUUCUUAGACUCACGAUCUGACAGCUACCCAGGCAGCAGACAAGCUGAUGCGAGAGAGGCAGAGCUCCACAGACAGCAAGAAGGGGACAUUAGAGGGACCGGUGACAGGCUGGAGAUGGGCACACAGGAGAAGCAGCCACCCAAGAAGGGAGGAGGAGCCAGAAACACCCAGCCAAGUCAACCAAGUGUUGGGUUCUCUGUAUCAGUCGAUUUGGCCAAUGAGGUGGGUACAAGACAGAAAAUAAAGAAGACAGAUUUGGAGGUCAGGGGAGGGGUUCUGCUGUGGGGUGGCUGAGGCUGGCUCCCCAGGUGCCAUGAACAGACCUGGCUCUCAAGAUCACCACCUGGGCCUCCAGAUUCCAUUGAAGCUUGGAAGGGAGCCAGCUCCCCGGUCCCCAUCCAAGGAGAAGGUGGGGCUUGGGAUGGCAGAAUGAGUCCCCCAAGGCCAGAAAGCUCCAGCCUGCAGUGGGGUGGACAGAGAGAGGGGGCGCUGGGAAGGAGUACACUGGGCCAGGCCUGCCAGAGGGGCACCAGGGAACCCAGGGCAGCACUGCCAGGGGAGUUGUGCCAGGAAAUUGCCUCGAGGGUUGAGCAGGCAAUGGGGCUCCCCAGAGAAGCCUUCCGGGUGCUGUGAGGUCUGAGAAGUAGGGUCCGUGGGUCAGAUCCCAAGGGCAGCAUGGUUAGGCCCUGCUCGUUUAAAGAGCAAUCCUGAGGGAAGAAGGGAAGUGAAAAGAGGGGCAUCACAGAGAUAGGAAGACAUUCAGGCACUCUUACUGCAAAGAGAAGCAAUGACUGGCCACAGUUUCAUAGGGACUGAGUGGGAGACAGAAAUUUCUGGUGAGAGAGAUGUCAAGAGGAAAGAGCUGGCAGUGAGAUGAAUAUUUCAGAUAUGAAUGGACAAGGCAGGGGCCCGGGCUCCCGGGGAGGGCGGGCUUUCUUCCCUAUAGCCCACAUGGGAGAAGAGGCCAGGAGGACCAGGUGAGCAAGCGAGAGAGCUCUGCCCCUGGGGGCUCGGCUUUGAGCGGAGGGAGAGGUUGCUGGGAGCUGCAGCUGGGGACGUGGUAGGAAGUAGGCUGAGGAGACCGUGGGUGUUGCCAUCAGUACGAGAGGGAGGAGGAUGUGGAGCUGGCCGGGCACUAAAGAAAGACUUUCAGGCAACCCUGGGGAUGAAGAACGGUCAGCAGCCUCCUGAGCAGAGGCGGCACAGGACUAGGUUGGGUGCCCAGGUGCUGCCAACACAGCUCAGAGGAAGAGGAGUCAGGAGUCCUGUGUGGCCGUGGGAAGGGAUACCCUACACCACAGACCAACCUCAAGGUGACUAAGCAGAGCACAUAGGACAGGCAACAGGGACAGAAGAGGCUCAGCACAGCAUUCCUCAGGAAAGAGGGCGACUGCCCCAGAGCUGGGGAGUCCUGGGACCACAGCCUGCAGCAUGAGACAGUGACAUUAGACAGGAGCCAUGCAGGAGCUACUCUGGGCACCCUUGGCCUUACUACUCCCAGAUCCCCUGCCAACAGCUUCGCUGACUCAGUGCGGAGCCUACUUGGCUGCAGGCUGCACGCUGUGGUCUCCAGAGCUGCAUCUUAAAGACAGAUGUGGUCAGGGCCACCAGGGUAUAGUCACCCCCGGCCCCUCGCCUUGGCUUCUUUCUCCAGCGGCUCUGCAGUGGCCCCUUCUCACUCCCACUUCUUGCUCUUGGAUCCUGCUAGCUCUUGGCUCCCCUGACCCAUCCCGGCCUGACUGUCCAGUUUCACCCCAGUUGUACUCAGUGCUUCAAUCUGAACAUUGAGCCCCUGAUGUCCCUGGGCUGUGAUGAACAGACAGGCAGUUGUGGGGAGGAAGCCUGUCCUUUCCUUCCCUCUCUACAGCCACAGUGCAGUGUUGCCUGUCCUCUGCCCGUGCACCCACUUCCACAGGUAGGGCAUGAGCAGUUCCUGCCCUCAUGUACCCCCCCAGCUGACUCAGCGAUGACAGCUAUCACUGUGCCGGGCCCCAGGGAGGGAAAUUCAGAGUCAAUUGCAGGUGCCAACAAAAUGUGAAGCGGGCAUUAUUUUCACCUUAGUCUCAGAAAGGAGGCUCAGAGAAGUCGAGCAACCUUUCUCUGUGUCACAUAGCUUGCAAGUAGCAGGGCCGAGACUCAAGCCAGCCCUCUCUACUACCAAAGCCAAGCAUCAUGGCCUCUCGGGCUCCACCUAACUUGAAGGACUGAGGGUGUACUCACAAUGCCAUCCAUCCACCAUGGAAGCAUUUACUAGACUCCCCAUGCUGCUUCGAGCUGUAGAAUGACUAUAUUUAGCAUAAACAGGAAAAGGUUCAGAUGAGCUGAGGCAUUAGGCAGAUGGGUUGCAAUGGGACUCAUUCUUAUGCAAUCUUCAGAUUGCCUUCUACAGCUGGAAGGACCCCACGAACUUUGCCUAUCUCCUUCUCUUGUUCUCCUUUAUAGAAGCACAGAAAGGGUGGGGUACAACCCUUUUCUCAUCUACCUACUGGCUGUGACCUAAAGAACAGUCCUAGGGGCUCCCUGUACUCAGCACCCUGCAGAGGCCUUCUGGACCUUUUCAAAGCAUCUCCAAGAAUGUUCUACUUCUUUCAUUGCUGGGAUAAAGAUUCAGGUGGGCUGCAUCUUGGGACACUUGCUGUGCCUUUGUUCUGCCUCAACGCCCACUGACCUUUAUCACCAUUGCCAGCCAGUCCCACCCACACAGGCGGCUGCCGGAUUCCAUCAUGCUCUUGAACUGGUGGACACUGAGCCAGGGAUAGAGGACCAGCAGGCAAACGACCACUGACAUGGCCAUGGUGUCAUGAAUCUCAUUGAAUCCUCUCGAGAAGUUUGUGUGAGAGCAAAGGCUGCUGGUGAGUAUGAGUGGAAGGCAGCAUGAGCAGAGGUGCCAAAGCUACCAAAAAAACUGAAGUGCAGGUCCUGGAGUGCUAUUGCCCUGGUCACUAGAGCCUGGCUGGGUGAUGGAGGGAUGGGCUCCACCUUGCUGGCAGCCAUGGGGAGGCCAGAACACUCUCAGCAGCUGCACAGCCAGGUCCUCCUCGGGCUCUGGAGGCCAAUCUGCCCUCAGGAUCUACAGUUUGGGGGCCCCUGUCCAUACAAUACAUCUUCUCAGAGCGCUCUGGCCCCUCCAUGGCUGCCAGCAAGGUGGAGGAAGUACAAUGAGGCAGGGCCCUUUCACGGGUCAGGGCCUUCAGGGGGAGGGUGACAGGGACCCCAACUCACUACACCCCUAGCACUCUGGGAUCUGCCCUUCUCUUUGCUGCCCAGCUGGGCAGGCCCCAGGCAAAGGCUGUCCACCAGUCCCUCGAAGCGUAAUGGGGACAGCAGACCCCUACUCCGCCAUGCUUUUCCAUGGAGACACAGUCAGCCCUUCUGCUUCCCUGACUCCCACUCAUUGUGACUGAUCUCCCUUCACCAUUUCUUCACUGGACCUGCCAAGUGGAAGCCCAGACUGGGAGUGGUCCCUCCAGGCUUGUCUUUACAUGGCAAGGUUGGGGUGAAAAUGGUCAAGAUGGGGAUUCCAUCAUGGUGGGCCACAGGAAGAGCAUUCUUGUGAGCUCCAAGGCAUUCACCCAGGUUAACAGUUGUAACAGAUCAGGGAAAAGACUCUAGAGUCAGGAGAGCCCCACCAUAGCUGGAAGCGGGAUGGCCAGCAACUGGAGAGCCAGAAGCUGGGGAAGAGCACAGUUGGUGUGGUAACAGUUCCCUGGCAGUGAAAGGGCUAAAAGGCCCCUGUGAAAGCCAGCCUGGCCAGCAGGUGCUGAGUAGUCACAAGACAGCACAGUGAGCCAGAGAAAAUAUAAAGAGAGACCUUUCUCCCGGUGAGAAGGGGGCCUUCCAUGAGGCCUAAGUAAAUAACCUGGUCAAGCUUGCAUCUUUGAUUUAGGUACAAGGCAGGUGUUCCCAGAAGAUUAACCAGGAACUGAGUUUUCAAGAAAGUGCAUUCCUGAGUUAUCUACACUGACAGAGACCCUUUCCCCUGUCUUCAAUCCUUGUAAAAGCCCCCACCUUUUCUUAUUCUAACAUUAGUAAUUCUUCCAACCAUGCUAAGAACUCACUCUGUAUGUUCAGGGUAAUUGUCAGAGACCCUCAGAUGCUUCUGAUUAUUUCCCCUCUGCCGGAUGGAGCGUCCCCCAAAAGAAGAUUCGGACACCUCCAGAAAAGGCAACUCAGAGUACUGUACUUGGGGGACUCCUUCAUGCUUAAUCUGAAAGCUAUGAUUUCCACACAGGCAUUAACACAGGUGAAAAACGUAGCCCAGCUAACAGCAUAAAUAACACAACCGCUGUCGGAGGGACCCAGCAAAUCAGUUUCCACUUUAUUAGCCAGUCGGCCAAUCAUGGAUGACCACACAGGGCAUGAUUUCUCCUCAUCCUUAAACAUAAAAUUCUGUUACAGCAAGCAUUUCUUGCUGUCUGCUUGUCAGUAUCACAGGGCACAUGUGUGAAUCAAUAAAAGCAAAAGCCACCUGGCCCUCCGAAGCAGAUCCAGGUGGGCUCUGAGAGAUGUUUUCAUCCAAGUUUGAUAAUCUGGGUCUCUUGUUACAGGGACCAGAGAGCCUUUCCUCCCUUCAAUUCUGAUAAUUGCCUGUGUUGCAGCUGGUUGAUAGAAGCCUUCUGAGGUCUUAAAAGACCACGGCACAGCCAUUCUCAUGCCAGGGAAAGAGAAGACCCUUGUCCUGUGUGCUCUGCAUAGACAGUAGGAGGUGAGUCCUCAUUUGCGGAACUGAGUCAAAAAGAAGCCAGCAAGCCCUCCCCACCAGUGGAGGACAGCCCACCAGCAGACUGUCCAGAAGAGAGGUGCAAAGCCUGUGCUUCCAAAGACAACGGGUCCUCCUGCCUCCAAGAGGAGGGCACUGGAGACAAGAACAGGCAACGACUUUGUGCAGCGCACUCUACCAUCACCCAGGCCUGGCAAGGGCAGGAGAAGCUGUCAUCCAUCACCUGGAAAUCACUUCACCCUGAUGCGAACUCACUCAUGGCUGCUGGGCUUCCAGGCAGCCCGAUCCUAUUAGCAGCCCCUAACCCAGUUGUGGCUGUUCAGUCCCAGCCCAAACUUGUCCAGGCCAAAAGGGACAGCUGAGCCCAGUCAGCUGCAUGACGACUGUCUCCUCUUAGAAAAAUCACUGGCGACGUGAAAUCUGUAGUCUAUUAAUAGAGAGCUCCCACACUCUGACAAUAGCAGCUCACAAAAGGGAGAGAGACAGACAGAGAGAGGAAGCGACUACCAGGGCUCUGAUGGAUGAAGCUAGAAUUGUAUCACAGCUUACUUGGGGCCGCCAGCAUUGAAAAGAUGGAAAGCUUUUGCCUUUCAAAGGCACGAACUUGAGAGUUACUUGUGUUCCACAGCAUUUGUGGGAAGGUGUUUAAAACUCGAGUGUCAAAGACAAAUUGCACAAAGAGGUGUGGCAGGAAGAGUCAGGGGUCUCUUCGGGACUUUUAGGUUAAGUCAGUCCCAGGUGGAUCCCAAACAUCGCCACAGAAUAACGGGACAGGGCGAGGACACGCAGGGGACUGUUCCUGGGUGUGGAGGAGGCCUGGAGGAGCCCAGGACCUUCACACAAAGUUACAGCCCCCUGGAGGCCACACCUGCAUCGGCGCCCUGCGGGCUCUGCACCCUGGACCCUGACCUGACUCUCGCUCCCGAGGGAGGAGUAGUUCAGUAGCUGUCUGUUCUUGGUGACAGAGCCCGUCUGGGACCAGUCCCCUGGUGUCCAUAGCAGAAGCAAGCGGCUGUCCACCCCAGGAGGUGGACGGAAUGCACAAGCUGGGGCUCAGAGAAGGUGCAGCGGCAGAGACACGCUGUCCUUCUGCUCCGCCGCACAGCGCUGCAGGGGUGGGCAGCGCCCCUCCAGGCUGGGCUCCCUGAGCCUGGAGUAUCCUCCCCUCCUUCCUGCUCUGGGCAGGCAGGGCUUGAAAGACCCAUGGUGGGGACCGGCACAGCCAGCACUAGAAAGGCUUCUGUUCCCCGACAGGAGAGAGCAGAGUGACAUGCGAUCCUCCAGAGCGUCCACCCGCCCGGGCUCCUGCCUCUGCCCGCGGGUGAGGGCCUCCUGCAGCCGGACGCUGCCGCGUUUCAGGCUGGCUGUGUGGAAACCCUUGCCCCUCAUGGCGUCUCAGCGGAUGGCGGAGCCACCACACUCAGCACUCCAAGUCUCGCACACGCACACUCGCUGGACACCCGCUCCCAUGCAGUCUGCCAUCAGCCGCAUCUUCUGAGCACUCCUGCUCCUGGCUACACUAGCCGCGCUGAGUGAGGAGGGGGAAAGACGCCUAGAAGCUGCGGGGCAUCUGGAAGGAGAGCCGCUUUGUGGUGUGUGUUUAAAUAGCUCUGCUCCCUAAUUUUGUGCUGCUUAGGGUUAUGUUAAAAUUAGUAUGUACAGGAAAUAGCAGUGAAGAAAGAUGGCCCAGAAACCAUUUUUAGAAUAGUAAGGAGAACACUGGCCUGCUUUUGAUUCUGUGCAUGGGGACAGACUUCAGAGAGAUGGGAACUGGCAGCCUGGAGCUCAGCUGGCUCCAGUCUGCUCCCCGGGACUGCGUCAGGCUUCUCUGAGCUACCGGGCCUGGGGUCCUCCCGUGUCCCACGGGGUCGAAGGGAGGCGGCUUCCUGGGCCGUGCUGUCCACCCUGUGCCGCCUGACGUGGUUGCGCUCUCCCUUCCACCCGCUUCUCCACUCCACCUGCAUGGACCCACUCCAGUGCCCUUGGAAUGGCGUCCUGUCACUGUUUUGUGGGCAAGCGUGCUGUCAUCACAGGAGAGUGUUACCAACUCCCCCGUGAAUGCAACCUGUACAAUAGACACGUGCCAAUAAACAAAUUUUAAAAAGAGAUGAAAACUGAAAAAGAUGGUAUUGUGUUAUGCCUCUCACUUUUUCAUUCAACAAUUCAAACUCUUGUAAAUCUAGCACACAGUUUCUGACCACCCCAGAGCCCCUGCGGGAGAUGCAACCAGAGGCGGAGCCCUAAAGGACUGUGAUUUGUUACAGAUGUGCAAACCGAUGGUGAGAUUUCACAUGAUGUUUCCAGACACGGCUGGCAUACUAGCCAAAGAACUGAGGAGGGAAGACCAGCCCCGACUGUGAGCAACACCAUCCAAUAAACUUGCUGAGAUGGAGCAAAAAGUGAAAGGAAGAGGGAACCUGCCUAUGUGUGCAAAGCUGAUCCUGCCUGAACAGGUACAUCUUCUGCCACUACCUGGGUAGCCCAAACUCUUACUUCUAUCCUUCAGCGCAGACUCACACCAGCGACUCCAGGAAGCUUGCAGGCUUUUUCCUCCUACUGCAGCUGUACUUGGGCCUCUUGUUCUGAAGUUUCCAGAUCCUUAGACCGAGCAGCCACUGGAGCUCUGGCUCUCCAGUGUACAGACGGCCACUGUGGACUCUCGCUCUCUGAUGCUAGAGAGCCCUGACCCGUACGUUGUCUCAUCAAACCACCAUGAAUACACUCUGGGAUCAAUGUACUCUCCAUUCUAUAGACUGGAAUUAAGGCAUGAAAACAUUAGCUUGACUGACACUACACAACUAAGUGGCAAAGCUCAAAUGGAAGCACUGGUCCCCGCCAGAUUCUAAGGCUAUUUCCAGACCACUAGGCCAAAGGAUUGUCCUGGUAACUGCCAAGAGGGAGUGUGGAGGAGGAGGAGGAGGCAGGCAGGCCAGUGUUAAGACAACUGAAUGGGUCCCGGUGAGAGUCCAGAAAUGUCACCAGAUUAAUGGCAGUGGGAAAGUGGAGAGACAUGGCAACACCCAGCUCAGUGUCCAGUUGGAUAUGCAGGUGAGGAAAGAAGGGAACCCAGAUGUUCAGAGGUGGCACUGAAGAAAGAUUUGCCUCCCAUGAAUUCUAGAGAGAUACAACAGUGCUCUGCUAUCUGUGAAGAAGAACUCUGUGGCCAGGUGGAGGUGAGACAGCCCAGAGCACACAGCAGGGCACAAGGAUUGGUGCGGUGGAUGAAUGAACCAACAACCUCAACCGGUGUGUCCCUCCUUCAAGCCCAUGGUCUGAGUCACUCGAAUGGCCGCUGAAUGGGCAGAAAAACUAAUGUGUGCUUUUUAGUUUCUCCACCAGGAGUACACAGGUGAUAAGAAUGAAAGCCUCAGUGCAGUAUAAGGGGGCAAUUUCCAAAUGGAACUGACUGCCCCCCCACACCUCAGCAUGGCCUCACUAACACCGCCACCAGGCUUGGAUUGAUUAGCUGUCUGCCUAGAAGAAAAUGCCCAAGAUUUCAUACUGGUUCCUUGCCACCUAUCUCCACAGCAAAUGCUCCAGUCCCACCUUGGGCCCAAACCCCAGAACCCCAGAGCCUCAGAACCCAGAGCAAUACCUCAGAGGCUUGUGGGAAAUAGGCACCACCCCAAGGAAAGCCAGGGUUAAGGGUGAGCUCAGGAAUCAUCAGGUCUCCCCUCCUUCUCCAGAUGCAGGAGGGACCACAGGCUGCUCCCUAACUCUGGUGGGCAGUGCCCCGCUCUGGUGGACCCCAUCCCUGCAGGCUGCCCUCUGACUCACACUGUGGCUCAGAGACUCCCUGCAGAGGCAGAGGGACCCGCAUCUCCUGCAGGGCCGCCGAGGCCUUGGUCCCUGGUUACUUCCCUUAAUUCUCCACCAGACUAAUGGCUCUGCUUUUACAUCAGUCAGCAGCUUGUUCCUGCAAACAGUAUUUUUGUAAUGCUGGAAUUAAAUACCAUGUCUUCAAAGUGCCCCUUUUCCAGAGACAUAGUUCAGGGUAGGGGCCGGGAUGGAGUUGGGUAGCAGUGCUUUCUGUCCCCAAGGGCCCUUUUCAGGCUUUUGAGCCAGGAUGUCUUUGGAAGUUGCAGAAACCACAGGGCUUGGGCGAAGGGGUAGGAAAACACAUCUAGUACAGGCAGCCCAGACCCAGUGAUGUGAACGAUUGACAGGGAUGGCCUCACACUGGUCCUGGAACCUGCCCCAUUAUGGGGCUGAGGAGCCAAACAAGCAGGUGUGAGCUGCUGGACCCUCCCCGGGGCAGGUGGGCAGAGCUGGAGAGAACAUCAGCCCCUGGCCCUUGGGAAGCCUUGAACCAUGACCAAGAGAGUCUCUCUGUCCCUCUGGGCCCCUAGGCAGAGGUGCACAGGAGGCUUCCAGCCUUGUGUCCUAUAACCGAGAGGCCUGGUUCCAAAACUAAAUGCCACUCCUAGUAUUAGCAGGCUACCGCAAUGGACAUGUGCCUUACCCCAGUUCUUUUGAAACAAUUAUGUUUUUAAGCUAAAUUUAAGACAUGGAGGAGGAGGUGUGGGAGGGCUCUCUAUUGGUAAGAUGGGGAGGGUGCCUUACAUUUUCCUUGUCCUUUACAAAGCACAUUCACAACAGCUCAGCCUCACAAAGGAAUACCUUUGUGAUGACAAUUUGGCAAGACUGCUGACUUGGUCACUUUAACUAGUAUCAUUGCACCUUUUUGUUUAAACUUGUGUGUGGUAGGCUCUCUGAUCCCAGUCCCCGGGUUUCAUCCCCUAACUGCCCCAGGUGUAGUCCAACCUCACUGAAGAUCUGACCCUCCUGCUGUCCCCACUGCCCUCUGAAGCCCAUGAAUAUUUGGGCCAAGCCUCGGUUCCAUCUCCUGGAACUAAGGCUGGACCAUAUAAGAGCACAAAAAGUAGGAGGAAAGCAGUGGCUUCCAUAAUUGACUGAGCACAUAGAAGGAAGAA